CCUACGGGAGGCUGCAGUGGGGAAUAUUGCACAAUGGGCGCAAGCCUGAUACAGCCAUGCCGCGUGUGUGAAGAAGGCCUUCGGGUUGUAAAGCACUUUCAGCGGGGAGGAAGGCGUUAAGGUUAAUAACCUUGUCGAUUGACGUUACCCGCAGAAGAAGCACCGGCUAACUCCGUGCCAGCAGCCGCGGUAAUACGGAGGGUGCAAGCGUUAAUCGGAAUUACUGGGCGUAAAGCGCACGCAGGCGGUCUGUCAAGUCGGAUGUGAAAUCCCCGGGCUCAACCUGGGAACUGCAUUCGAAACUGGCAGGCUAGAGUCUUGUAGAGGGGGGUAGAAUUCCAGGUGUAGCGGUGAAAUGCGUAGAUAUCUGGAGGAAUACCGGUGGCGAAGGCGGCCCCCUGGACAAAGACUGACGCUCAGGUGCGAAAGCGUGGGGAGCAAACAGGAUUAGAUACCCCAGUAGUC
rnacentral:rRNA from 1 species